rnacentral:rRNA from 1 species
AUUGAACGCUAGCGGCAUGCCUUACACAUGCAAGUCGAACGGAGUGGCUAACGGGUGAGUAAUGUAUCGGAACGUGCCCAGUAGCGGGGGAUAACUACGCGAAAGCGUCGCUAAUACCGCAUACUAUUGGAGCGGCCGAUAUCGGAUUAGCUAGCUGGUGGGGUCACGGCUCACCAAGGCGACUAUCCGUAGCUGGUUUGAGAGGACGACCCGCCACAGUGGGAAUGAGACACGGCCCAGACUCCUACGGGAGGCAGCAGUGGGGAAUUUUGGACAAUGGGGGAAACCCUGAUCCAGCCAUCCCGCGUGGGCGAUGAAGGCAUUCGGGUUGUAAAGCACUUUUGGCAGGAAAGCGGUACCUGCAGAAGAAGCACCGGCUAACUACGUGCCAGCAGCCGCGGUAAUUC